AAUUCUGGGUUCUGUUAUUUCCCCUUAAUGUCUAGGCUUUGCAAAAACUUGAAAGGAGGUACCAUUACCCCUAUUUGACAGAUGCAGCUGCAGAGGCUCAAGGAAGCUAAGAAGCAGGCCCAGGGAGUUCCCGUCGUGGCGCAGUGGUUAAUGAAUCCGACUAGGAACCAUGAGGUUGCGGGUUCGAUCCCUGGCCUCACUCAGUGGGUUGAGGAUCCGGCAUUGCCGUGAGCUGUGGUGUAGGUCACAGAUGUGGCUCAGAUCCCUCGUUGCUGUGGCUCUGGCGUAGGCCGGCGCCUGCAGCUCCGAUCGGACCCCUAGCCUGGGAACCUCCAUAUGCUGUGGGUGCGCCCCCCGCAAAAAAGAAGUGUGCCCAAAGCCACACAGUUAAUAUAAGGCAAAGUGGGGUUCGAACUUAACUGCUGCCUGUUCCCAAGCUCAGAUACAGAGCACUUUUCCAAAUGCCAGGCUAACCCAUGAUCGUGGAUAGAAGGCACCCAAAUGUUAGUUUCCUUUUGUCCCAACUUCCAUAGAAAUGGACAGAAAGUUUUCUCCCGAUGCAUGAGUAUCAGCCACUGAAUCAACUUUGCUGGAUUUAGAUUUACACGAGUAGGAAGCGGUCGUUCCUCGGGGCCGGGGAAGUGGAAACGGUGGAUGAACCGGAGCUGGGCUGGGAGAUGGGUGGGCCAGGGACGGGUGGCUCCCUGUCUGAACUGCUGAUUCGCUUGUCCGGCCUGUGAUCCUUCAGGGAGCUCCCUCCUGUCUAAUCUCUGUUGCCAGGAGCCCUGCGCUUGUAGGACGCCUGACCUGGGAUUGGCCUAUAACUUGUGGUUGGUGACAGAGCAACCCUGGCUGGCCCUGGCUCAGCCUGGCACUCUCCACGAGGCCCUGCGGCCCCAUGAGUGCCUGGCAAGGCUGCUGGACAGGGCCUUGGAGGUCAGCAGCUGGCAGGAAUCCUGCAACCCAGCAUGUGAGAAGUGUUGACUUUCUCAGACAGAGCUCACCUACUCAGCUGGCUGAGACAGCACAAGGUUUAUGGCAUAGCAAAGGUAAGGAGUGUGGCGCCAGUAAGCAGAGACCCAGCACAGAGGUGGCUCUAGAGUCCAUGGCCUCAUUAUGCAGCUGCUCACGGGUGACCAGCCAUCCUCCCACACUGCCCACCGACGUCAGAGAUGCUGGGGACAUAGAGGUGGCAGCCUGUUGUGACACUAUUGCCAACAGUAUGUUGAUAAAAGAUCUGGGGAGAGAGAACAAGCCCUACCCAGACGAGGAAGUGGCCUUCCAGUCUUUCUUCUAUGGAACUGAGGUUUGAACCAGAGUGGAGCCUUGAACCUUUUCUCUCUCCAUGGGUUUGGCAGAUUAGCCUCAGGCCCCUUUCCCACCACCAGUGGCUACGUCUGCCUAAGAAAUGUCAUUCAUUUCUCAGAUAGCAAGACGAUAGAACAGUUUCAGGGGGCGGUCAUCUGGGGGUGGGGGUCCCUCCCCAUCCCGUCCUAAGCCACACUCACUGUGCCUUCUCUCUGCUCCGUCCCAGCAGCAAUGCUGGGCCACACCCUGCAUCCUGCUGCUUCCUUCCCAACACCCUCAGCGGCCCACGGCCAUCUGCACUUUAACAGUGCCUGGCACACGACAGACACCCAAGAUGUGGGCGUUCACAGUAGCCAUUAUUUAGCGCCCACUGGGUGCUGGGCACAGCACUGGAUUCUCUGCAAACCCCUUAACCAUUAUGGCAGCCCUAGGAGGCAGCUGCAUUUCUCUCCCUACUGAUGAGGAAAUUGCAGUUUGGGGAGCUCAAGGGAUGUGUCCACACUCACAAAGCUAAUUAGUAGUGGAGUCAGGAUUUGAAUGGAAUCAGUUUGCCUUCAUAGAAGUUCUCAG
rnacentral:lncRNA from 9 species